AGUCAGUCUGCCAGAGAGUCCUGGAAGAAGUUAGAGUCCUGGAGAAAGCCAGUGUGCAGUUUGGAAAAGAGGGAGAAGGAGAAUCUCUCUGAAGACACAGUUGGAGAACCAGAGCUGAGGAAUUGCUAGCACAGGCUGAGAGAUUCAGUGCUGUGUCUGGAACAAGGGCUGUAAUCGCAAGAAGAGCCAGGCUGGGUUGAACCCCAGGCCUGAACCGUGAUCAGAAUAAGAGACUGCACAACAAGCCAGUUGUUGAGAAGGAGGGAGUUCUUCACGUUCAAAAUGGCGAUUCUCCACCUGCAAUCUGAAGUGGGACAAUCCAUUCCAUUACCUCCGUUCUCUGCCAUCUCUCACUGGCAUCUCAUGCUGUGGGUCAGCCCCAUGGCUCAACUUACCCAGUCCGGUAGGAAGUCUUUGGGCCCCAUAACCAGGAUAUUUCCCUACGAAGAUGAAAACCAGAGAGGGUGGCAGCAGAGAAAAACAAGACAGCGGAACAAUUAUAGCUCAGGCUAUCUUGCCAAUCACAGCAUGCAGUCUUUUUAAAAAAGCAUAUAUUAGUUACGACUAACUUGUUCUAUUAGUUGCAACAGGACUGCUCAUGAGUAAU